UGGGGAAUAUUGGACAAUGGGCGCAAGCCUGAUCCAGCCAUGCCGCGUGAGUGAUGACGGCCUUAGGGUUGUAAAGCUCUUUUACCUGGGAAGAUAAUGACGGUACCGGGAGAAUAAGCCCCGGCUAACUUCGUGCCAGCAGCCGCGGUAAUACGAAGGGGGCUAGCGUUGUUCGGAAUUACUGGGCGUAAAGCGCACGUAGGCGGACGCUUAAGUCAGGGGUGAAAUCCCGAGGCUCAACCUCGGAACUGCCUUUGAUACUGGGUGUCUUGAGUCCGGAAGAGGUGAGUGGAACUGCGAGUGUAGAGGUGAAAUUCGUAGAUAUUCGCAAGAACACCAGUGGCGAAGGCGGCUCACUGGUCCGGAACUGACGCUGAGGUGCGAAAGCGUGGGGAGCAAACAGGAUUAGAUACCCCCGUAGUCC
rnacentral:rRNA from 1 species